GAUGAACGCUGGCGGCGUGCCUAAUACAUGCAAGUCGAGCGAACAGACGAGGCGCUUGCUCCUCUGACGUUAGCGGCGCACGGAUGAGUAAAACGUGGAUAACCUCCCUAUAAGACUGGGAUAUAUUCGGGAAUCCGGGGCUAAUACCGCAGAAUAUAUUGCACCGCAUGGUUCAAUAGUGAAAGACGGUUUUGCUGUCACUUAUAGAUGGAUCCGCGCCGCCUUAGCUAGUUGGAAAGGUGACGGCUUCCCAAGGCAACGAUGCCUAGCCGUCCUGAGAGGGUGAUCGGCAGCACAGGAGCUGAGACGCGGGCCAGACUCCGAAGUGAGGCAGCAGCAGGAAAUCUUCCGCAAGGAGCGAAAGCGUGACGGAGCAACGCCGCGUGAGUGAUGAAGGGCUUCGGAUCGUAAAACUCUGUUAUUAGGGAAAAACAAAUGUGUAAGUAACUAUGCACGUCUUGACGGUACCGAAUCAGAAAGCCACGGCUAACUACGG
rnacentral:rRNA from 1 species